UUCUGUUGUGACAAAAACAAGGCGGAUGCCUUGGCACUAAGAGCCGAUGAAAGACGUGAUAAGCUGCGAUAAGCUUCGGGGAGGAGCAAAUAUCCUUUGAUCCGGAGAUCUCUGAAUGGGGAAACCCGGCUGUAUGGACUACAGUCAUCCAUAAGUGAAUCCAUAGCUUAUGGAAGGGAACCCGGGGAACUGAAACAUCUAAGUACCCGGAGGAAGAGAAAGAAACAUCGAUUCCGUAAGUAGCGGCGAGCGAACGCGGAAGAGCCCAAACCGUGAUGCGUGCAUCGCGGGGUUCGGACUGCAUAAGGGAUUCAGUAACGGCAGGAGAACGGCUUUGGAACAGCCGGCCAGAGAGGGUGAGAGCCCCGUAUCCGAAGCCAGAGCUGACCCGGCAGGAUCCAGAGUACCACGGGACACGGGAAACCCUGUGGGAACGAGCGGAGACCACUCCGUAAGGCUAAAUACUACUCAGUGACCGAUAGCGUAUAGUACUGUGAAGGAAAGGUGAAAAGAACCCCGGGAGGGGAGUGAAAGAGAACCUGAAACCCUGUGUCUACAAGCUGUGGAAGUACUUCUCAGGUACGACCGCGUACUUUUUGUAGAACGGUCCGGCGAGCUGCGGGUACUGGCAAGGUUAAGCACUUCAGGUGCGGAGCCGUAGGGAAACCAAGUCUUAAGAGGGCGUUUUAGUCAGUACGUGCAGGCCCGAAACCGGGUGACCUAUCCAUGUCCAGGUUGAAGCCGCCGUAAAAGGCGAUGGAGGACCGAACCCACAUCCGUUGAAAAGGGUGGGGAUGAGGUGUGGAUAGCGGAGAAAUUCCAAUCGAACCCGGAGAUAGCUGGUUCUCCUCGAAAUAGCUUUAGGGCUAGCCUCAUACAAGUCUGCCGGAGGUAGAGCACUGAAUUUCCGCGGGGGCGUCAAAGCCUACCAAAGAAUAUCAAACUCCGAAUGCCGGACAGAUGGUGUAUGGGAGUCAGACUGUACGAGAUAAGUUGGACAGUCAAAAGGGAAAGAGCCCAGACCGCCGGCUAAGGUCCCAAAGUGGGUGUUAAGUGGAAAAGGAUGUGGGAUCUCUAAGACAACCAGGAUGUUGGCUCAGAAGCAGCCAUUCAUUAAAAGAGUGCGUAACAGCUCACUGGUCGAGAGGUCCUGCGCCGAAAAUGUCCGGGGCUGAAACACCACACCGAAGCCGCGGAACCCGUAAGGGUUGGUAGAGGAGCAUUCUUAGGGGAGCGAAGCAUUACCGGAAGGGGAUGUGGACCGCUAAGAAGAGAGAAUGCCGGAAUGAGUAGCGAGAGCAAGGUGGGAAUCCUUGCGGCCGAAUAUCCAAGGUUUCCAGAGUAAAGCUGAUCUGCUCUGGGUAAGUCGGGGCCUAAGGAGAGGCAGAGAUGCGUAUCCGAUGGACAGCAGGUUUAAGAUUCCUGCACCCCUUGUUAUCAGAACUGCGGGGACACGGGAAGGGAAGCAGAGCCGGGAAUGGAAAGCCCGGUGCAAGCGAAGUAGUCGCAGGGUUGGAAAAUCCGCCCUGCAUGAGACGAAGGCGUGAUGCGGAGCGAAAUGAAGUAGUGAAGCUGCGGCCCCUUCCUGUCGAGAAAAGCCGCUAUCGUGUAGCAAGGGCCCGUACCGUAAACCGACACAGGUGGAUGAGGAGAGGAUCCUAAGGCCGGCGGGAGAAGUGUUGUUAAGGAACUCGGCAAAAUGACUCCGUAACUUCGGGAGAAGGAGUGCUGCGCAAGCAGCCGCAGAGAAAUGGCCCAAGCAACUGUUUAGCAAAAACACAGGUCUAUGCGAAACCGAAAGGUGAGGUAUAUGGGCUGACGCCUGCCCGGUGCUGGAAGGUUAAGAGGAGAAGUCAGGCAACGAAGCUUCGAAUUUAAGCCCCAGUAAACGGCGGCCGUAACUAUAACGGUCCUAAGGUAGCGAAAUUCCUUGUCGGGUAAGUUCCG
rnacentral:rRNA from 1 species